rnacentral:misc_RNA from 1 species
AUGUUUCCGGCAAAUCAUAAAACAGUUUUUGUAUUAGACCAUACUCCCUAUUUUGGAAUAUCAACAGAAAGUCCUCUUGAAUUUGAAUGUUUAAAAAGUCGUGGUCCUAAUCACAUACCUUUAGCACCAAUAUGUAAAUCUCUAUGGACUACAAGUGUUGAAUCAUCAAUGGAAUACUGUAGAAUCGUUUGGGAUCUUUUUCCUUCUGGAAAAUUGGUGAGAUUUGUUGCCAGUGAUCACGCAGCACAUAUUUUAAAUACUUGGAAUCCACUUCAACAAAAUUUAUCUCAUAUUAUGAAUGGAAUGUCUAUUAUUGGAGUUCCACCUAGAGCUCACCAACCUGGAGUUGACUUUUCAGUAAUACAUGGAUUACGAGUUGCAAUUGAAGCUUUAACUGAAUGUACUGAAGUUCAACACACUCAUCGAACUUCUUUGAAUGAAACUACUAAAAUACUCAAUCGAGGCCGGGUCAUUUGUAUUACUAGUGCUAGAGAUAAUAUUAAUAUGAAAAGUUUAGAGAAUAUAUUUUUAAAUCAACUUACACUACAAAAUAAAAUAGCCCUUGGAUCAGAUCAUUUGAUGCCAAUACAUCAUUGCCAUUUAGUCAUAUUAAACAUUUUUCCAGUCAAUAUUGAAUCUCAAGUAACCAACCAAAACCCCCGUGAGAUAUCGCCGGUUCUCACGAUGGAAGUACAUUCAAUGAAAGCCACAGCCUUACAUUCCAAGUUAUCACAUCUAAUAUUAUCUCACUAUGAUCUUGCGAGCACGACUGUUACUGGAAUACCAAUGAAAGAAGAACAAAAUGCUAGUUCUUCUGCUAAUUACGAUGUAGAAAUUUUUCAUUCACUUAAUGCUCAUUCCUCUAUUUUAAAUGGGAAUCCUCAAGACUCAGCAUUAUUGAAAACAUUCAGGAGGUUUGAGGAAGGUUCAGAAUAUGAAACUGUCACUUUAAAAUGGUGCACACCUAGAGGUUGCAGUGCAUCUGAAAUGCAAAAUUGCACCGCAAUGCACAGAAUAACACCAGUAGAUGUUAACAGCCGACCAUCUUCAUGCCUCAUAAAUUUUCUUCUUAAUGGUAGGUCUGUUAUGUUGGAGAUGGUACGUAAAAGUGGAGGCAAAACAAUAUCUCAUCUGCUAGCUUCUCAUGGUGGAGAAAUUUUUAUUCACACUCUUUCUACUGCACGAAGUGUUCUUGAAGAUCCACCGUCAAUUAGCGAGGGCUGUGGUGGCCGACUUACUGACUAUAGAAUUACCGAUUUUGGUACACUUAUGCAAGCUAAUAUUUUAGUACCUUUAAAGCGUUCUUCUAAUGAUGAUAGUAAUGAAUCAAUUAACAAAAUGCGAGCGAGAUUAGAAAGACACACAAGAUAUUGGCCAAUUACUAUUUCAAGUACUUUGAUCUUCAAUUUAAAGCAGAUUAUGAGUCCGUUACCCGAAUUGAUGAUUAAAGAAGAGCUUACCAAAGAUGAACAUUUAAAAUGUAAGCAGUUAAUAUUUAAGUUACUUCAACUAGAAUCAAAACAUGAACCUUUACCUCUACCAAAUCUGGCUGGAGUACGAGGUGGAAAAGGUGGAGUUCGUCGAGAGCAUUACCGGUUGUUGUGGGAAGAGCUGGAAGCGUUUCUGAAAGUUCAUGCUAAUAACUCUUCGAUGCAUGCUGAAAUACUUAAUUGUUUUCUCGAAGUUCGAAAAGAAGAUGAUAAAGACAAGAUGGAGAUCGAUCAACCUUUACGAAAAUCAGAAAAUGUCAAUAAAGAUGAAACUUUACGUGCAAGUGUAAUCCGAGCAACAACUGACUCUCCAAUGUCUCCUCCGCCUUCUUGUCCGUCAACACCCCUCACCAAGCAAGCGCAAAAAAAUUCAACAUCUAAGACGUUACUUGAAAUUUGGCUUCAAAGAAUGACACCCAAAGAACGUCGACCUGAUUUUCAUGGUCGUAUUAAUAGUGAUGGACCCAAAGCAAAAUUGUAUCCAAAUUUAAAAGAAACUGGAAGAGAACCUCGAGAACCUAUUUUGGAAGGUUAAUAAAAAAUUUGCCGUACUGAAGAAUUUCUUCAACUUUGUAAUCUAUUCAAUUUAACGAUUCAUGACAUGACAAAAAAUUGAGAAAAAAAUCCAUUGACAUAUGACACUAAACAGAAUGAGGAUAGUCUAGCAAAUGACGAGAAGUGAAGAAAAGCAUGGGGUAGUAAUUUUUAUUCCUCAACUAUCGCGUGUGUCUAGUCGCUGUCUGCACCUACAAUACGUUGACCUCCAUAUCAAAACUAUACGUAAUGUAGUAGUUGAUGACGUGAUGUAGUAAUCGAUAGAAAGAGCAAGAUACAUAAUAUAAUGCAAGCACAUUGUGAAAAGUAGUAAAGGCGCAGGAAGACUUAGUAAUAGAGAAAGAGGAUGAAAUGAGAAAGAGUGAUAGAGCGAGAAAAGAGAGCCGACAAUGACGAAGAUAUCAACGACGACGACAACGGCAACGACGGGAGGACGCGGGAGCAUUGAGAGUGCAAGUGCGUGACGUAACGGUUCAUUCAUCCCGAGAGACAGACGAUAUCCCGGUCAAUGGUGUAUUGGAUGAGCAAUAGCUCAAACGAUGACUUUCAAGGCAGCUAUUUUGAGCACCUGCCUUCCAAGCAGCUGCUUUGAACACACUGCCAGGAAUAUGACAUUGUAAAGUGUUAGUGUGCUAGCAUUUAUCUAAAGAUUUCUCAAAAAUGUGAAAAUAACAACAUUUUGUUUAUAUCAUACCCCAAUA